AGGCGGAUUACAAUGAUUAUGCAAGCAUGAAGAAGCCGAGGAGGAUAUAUGGUCGCGGCGUUUAACCGUCUUCGAGUUGAUACGCGAAAGCUGAAAGGCCUACGACAAUGUACGAUGGCACGAGCCAAGUGGAGGGUUGGGGUUGCAACGCGUUUCACUCGGGUACCCACCACCAGUACACUCGCGUAUGUUCGUACAUUCGAUUGGCGGUGGUAAGCAUUCGGCUACACAGUGCCAGGUGGUGACUGUCGUCCCAUGUGUGCUCAUAUGUCUGCCCCCUGAGCCCUUACCUUCCCCUAGUGGGGUAAGUGCCGACCCCUUGGAAUAUCCAGGAGCACGGGAGACACCAGAGGCACACGUUAGCGCCCCAUCGUUUUCCUGCCCUCUAUCGUUCAACGCUCUAGUACCCGACUACACCUAAUUGCUCCUGUUGUUCUUCGAUCCUAUACCUUCUCCCUGUCCUACCUCUUUCCUUCUUUGUACCUCAUUGUCCUCUCCAUUCGUAUUUCUAUCUUCCCUUUCGUCCCUUCUGCGAUAUCAUCAUUUUCCAUCUUACUGGAAAACGUAAUACGUAUAAUAAGAAAUUAUCGAUCGUUUCGUUUCUUUUUUUCUCCAUUCGACAUUCCUAUGAGCUCGAUCCGUGGCGUUUUAGCUUAUUUUAUUUUAUUAAUGAUGAAAAAAAGUCUGGCGACAAGUUUUUAGAAUAACAGAUACGCUUCGCAUAUCUUAUCGAAUUCGAUGUUUAAUUAUCAUCAAUCGAAUCGAGAAAAGCGAAGAUACGAAGAACGUUUUGUUACACUUGCUAAUUCAUUUGUGCCUUGAGUCUAUAAUUUUUGCAAAAUUAUGAAAAUGAAAAAGAAUAGAUAAGAAUUUGCAAUGCACAUGGCGCAAAUCGUAUAACGAGGAAAAUAUGUAUCGCUCGUUUCCUACACAGGUGCAAAUCAUUCUACCAUGACCAACAUCGAAUCGUCAAAGAAUCGAGAGAACAACAUAUCAAAAACUAAUGUCAGAAUAAGGAUUUCACAAAACUCAGUGUGAAAACGCGAUUCAUUGAGUCUAUCGAGCUAGAUAACUCACAAUGAUGACAGGCCCGCGUAAAAUAUAUUAUCAUUGCCUAUAACGCCACCUACAAAAAUUGAAGGAAAUAAAUUAAGACAUCAAAAUAUAAAGAAAAAAGGAAAUUGUUAUACAUAUGCAUUACGUAUAUGCUGGAUUUUGUUCGCAUUAUAUAUGAAAAGAAUGUAAAGAUUUUUUCAUUGUUCAAGUUAGAUUAAUUAUAUUAAUGUAAAAACAAAAUAAACGUCUCUAUAAAACAAAGUUUAUAUUAUUUAUUUAAUACAUAUAAAAUCUCAAAUAUUCUUUUCAUCAUUUACGUACAACAACAUUCGCUAUAAAUUACAAUAUAUAAAAUAUAUAUCCUAUAUAACUAGGAAAGUAACAGCUGUAUUGUAAAAACACCAUAAAUAUGUAUCGACUACAUUUAAAAACACAUUAAAAAUACCAUUAAAAUAAACAUCUUUAAGAAUCAGAUAUUUUACAUCAAUCAAAAGUAUUAUGAUACAAAAUUGUUACCGAAAUUCUAAAAGGCACUAAAUAAUACUACCAACUCUUUCGUCUUAUUACAACUUCGUUUUACGAAUAUGAAUACAUAAUAUAUAUAAUAAAAUUGAUUAGAUAACACUCUUUUGCUUUUUUUGUGGAACAUUUCACGUUUUAUUCUAAAAGCAAAAAUAUGUAAGAACCAAUACGUAAAUAUUGGUUUCUUAAUCAAAUAUAUUAUAAAAUAUUUUUCCGAGUAAAUUCGGUAGGACUUAAAGAAACAGCAUAAUUAGACUUUGGUAAAGAUUUCGGAGAUACAAUAUAUCCAGUUUUCGUUGCACAUGUUAUAAGAUUUUUUGGUUUUGGCGGAAGCGGAGGAGGUUUCGAUGAUUUGUUUACACCUACGGAAUUGACUUGAGUAUCGAAACAACCGAAACCAGUAGUUUGGGGAUAAGAUCCGUUUUCUACAACAGUCCGAUCUCCAUCCGUUAAAGUUGUAUCUAAUAUGAACGAACUAUCUGGAGACUUACUCUGCAACUCUUUUCCAGUAGCCAAUACAUGGAAUCGUUCAUCGAUAUUUUCAUUUUUUGAUGAAGCCAACGUAGUUGUUGCCGUCAUUGUUGUUGUUAUCUUCAUUGUUGUUUUUGUUGUUGUUGUUAUUGCUGUUGUUGUUAUUGAUGUUGUCAUCGUUGUAUUUUGAUCAUGCCCGCUAUAAUUUUGCCGUUCAUGAAUCGAACUAUAAAACUUGGCGUUUGCUUCACAAUUGGUAGAUACUAUCCUAGGUCUUCGAACUUUGUUGCGAUCCGCCGGCUUACCAUUUUCCUUGUUCU